CCCUUAGAUGUUCUGGGCUGCACGCGCGCUACACUGAUGCGCUCAACGAGUUUAUGACCUUGCCCGGAAGGGUUGGGUAAUCUUCUUAAAACGCAUCGUGAUGGGGAUAGAUUAUUGCAAUUAUUAAUCUUCAACGAGGAAUUCCUAGUAAGCGCGAGUCAUCAGCUCGUGCUGAUUACGUCCCUGCCCUUUGUACACACCGCCCGUCGCACCUACCGAUUGAAUGACUCGGUGAAAAAUCGGGACUGUGGUCUAGCUUGCUUAAUUGCAAACUUGACUGUGGGAACUUUCUUUAACCUAUUCAUUUAGAGGAAGGUGAAGUCGUAACA
rnacentral:rRNA from 1 species